rnacentral:rRNA from 1 species
UUUCUCGUCUUCCUCGCCCUCGGCCUCCGCGUCGUUGUUGUAUCCGCCGCGACCUUCCUCGCGUGGCUGUACCGCGCGUUCCUCCGGCGGGGGAAGGAUCUGGGCCUGCGAUACGGCGCGUGGGCGGUGGUCACCGGCGCCACCAACGGCAUCGGCCGUGCGUUGGCGCUCGAGCUCGCGCGCAGGGGGCUCCACCUUGUCCUCGUCGGCCGAAACCCCGCCAAGCUGUCCCGCGUCAGCAAGGAGGACAAGGAUGUGGCGCCGUCCAAGAGCGUGGUGUUCGACCUCGCAGGCGACGCGAAGGAGCUGUCGCUGGGCGCGGCGAUGGUGGCUGAAAUCUCGUCCCGAGAUUUAAGUGGGGAAGUAAAGAGCAACACCGGCGCGACGUACCCUUGCACGGCCUACUUCUAUGAGGUGGAGACCCCGGUGUGGGAGGGCGUGGUGCGGGUGAACGUGGAGGCGGCCACGCGGAUCUCGCGCGCCGUCGUGCCAGCGAUGGCGGGCAAGGGGAGGGGCGCCAUCGUCAAUGUCGGGUCCGGGUCGUCCGUGGUGGUGCCGGCAUUCCCGUUCUACGCCGUGUACCACUAG